UACCUGCAGCUCGAGUGGUAACCGCUAUUAUUGGGCCUAAAGCGUCCGUAGCCGGUUUGGUAAAUAUCUGGGUAAAUCGUGAGGCUUAACUUCACGAAUUUCGGAUAGACUGCCAGACUUGGGAUCGGGGGAGGUCAGAGGUACUCCAGGGGUAGCGGUGAGAUGUUGUAAUCCUUGGAGGACCACCGGUAGCGAAGGCGUCUGACUAGAACGAGUCCGACGGUGAGGGACGAAGCCCUGGGGCGCAAACCGGAUUAGAUACCCGGGUAGUCCAGGGUGUAAACAAUGUGGGCUUUGUAUUGGAGGUCCCACGUGGGCGUCCAGUGCAGAAGAGAAGUUGUUAAGCCCACCGCCUGGGAAGUACGCUCGCAAGGCUGAAACUUAAGGAAUUGGCGGGGAGCACAGCAACGGGAGGAGCGUGCGGUUU
rnacentral:rRNA from 1 species